AUUGAACGCUGGCGGCAGGCUUAACACAUGCAAGUCGAGCGGGGUGAUGGUGCUUGCACUAUCACUUAGCGGCGGACGGGUGAGUAAUGCUUAGGAAUCUGCCUAUUAGUGGGGGACAACAUCUCGAAAGGGAUGCUAAUACCGCAUACGUCCUACGGGAGAAAGCAGGGGAUCACUUGUGACCUUGCGCUAAUAGAUGAGCCUAAGUCGGCAUAGCUAGUUGGUGGGGUAAAGGGCUACCAAGGCGACGAUCUGUAGCGGGUCUGAGAGGAUGAUCCGCCACACUGGGACUGAGACACGGCCCAGACUCCUACGGGAGGCAGCAGUGGGGAAUAUUGGACAAUGGGGGGAACCCUGAUCCAGCCAUGCCGCAUGUGUGAAGAAGGCCUUAUGGUUGUAAAGCACUUUAAGCGAGGAGGAGGCUCUUUUGGUUAAUACCCAAGAUGAGUGGACGUUACUCGCAGAAUAAGCACCGGCUAACUCUGUGCCAGCCGCCGCGGUAA
rnacentral:rRNA from 1 species